UGCGUAGGGGGCAAGCGUUGUCCGGAUUUAUUGGGCGUAAAGCGCUCGCAGGUGGUUCGUCGCGUCGUGCGUGAAAGACCCCGGCUCAACUGGGGGAGGUCGUGCGAUACGGGCGAACUGGAGGCCAGUAGGGGGAUGCGGAAUUCCGGGUGUAGUGGUGGAAUGCGUAGAGAUCCGGAGGAACACCAGCGGCGAAGGCGGCAUCCUGGACUGGUCCUGACACUCAUGAGCGAAAGCGUGGGGAGCGAUCCGG
rnacentral:rRNA from 1 species